GUGGGGAAUCUUCCGCAAUGGACGAAAGUCUGACGGAGCAACGCCGCGUGAGUGAUGAAGGUCUUCGGAUUGUAAAGCUCUGUUAAUCGGGACGAAAGAGCCUAGUGUGAAUAAUGCUAGGAAGUGACGGUACCGGAAUAGAAAGCCACGGCUAACUACGUGCCAGCAGCCGCGGUAAUACGUAGGUGGCAAGCGUUGUCCGGAAUUAUUGGGCGUAAAGCGCGCGCAGGCGGAUCCGCCAGUCUGUCUUAAAAGUUCGGGGCUUAACCCCGUGAUGGGAUGGAAACUACAGAUCUAGAGUAUCGGAGAGGAAAGUGGAAUUCCUAGUGUAGCGGUGAAAUGCGUAGAUAUUAGGAAGAACACCAGUGGCGAAGGCGACCACCUGGACUGAUACUGACACUGAGGUGCGAAAGCGUGGGGAGCAAACAGGAUUAGAUACCCUAGUAGUCC
rnacentral:rRNA from 1 species